rnacentral:rRNA from 1 species
GAUAAACGCUGGCGGCGUGCCUAACACAUGCAAGUCGAACGCGCUCGGGGAAACUCGAGUGAGUGGCGGACGGGUGAGUAACACGUGGGUACCUACCCUGUGGUGAGGAAUACCGGCGAGAAAUCGCCGACAAUACCGCAUAGGUUUCCUCCAAAGAGGAAACAAAGCCCGGCAACGGGCGCCAUGGGAAGGGCCUGCGGCCGAUUAGCUAGUUGGUGGAGUAAAAGCCUACCAAGGCGACGAUCGGUAGCUGGUCUGAGAGGAUGGUCAGCCACACUGGGAUUGAGAACGGCCCAGACUCCUAUGGGGGGCAGCAGUGAGGAAUUUUCGUCAAUGGGGGAAACCCUGAACGAGCAACGCCGCGUGCAGGAAGACGGCCUUCGGGUUGUAAACUGCUUUUCUCUGGGACGAGAACGGACGGUACCAGAGGAAUCAGCCCCGGCUAACUACGUGCCAGCCGCCGCCGUAAGAC